rnacentral:rRNA from 1 species
ACUCCUACGGGAGGCAGCAGUGGGGAAUAUUGCACAAUGGGGGAAACCCUGAUGCAGCCAUGCCGCGUGUGUGAAGAAGGCCUUCGGGUUGUAAAGCACUUUCAGUAGGGAGGAAGGUAGUGUAGUUAACACCUGCAUUAUUUGACGUUACCUACAGAAGAAGCACCGGCUAACUCCGUGCCAGCAGCCGCGGUAAUACGGAGGGUGCGAGCGUUAAUCGGAAUUACUGGGCGUAAAGCGCAUGCAGGCGGCCUGUUAAGUCAGAUGUGAAAGCCCGGGGCUUAACCUCGGAAUUGCAUUUGAAACUGGCAGGCUAGAGUCUUGUAGAGGGGUUAGAAUUUCAGGUGUAGCGGUGAAAUGCGUAGAGAUCUGAAGGAAUACCGAGUGGCGAAGGCGGCCCCGUGGACAAAGACUGACGCUCAGAUGCGAAAGCGUGGGAGCAAACAGGAUUAGAUACCCCGUGGUAGACUGUCA